rnacentral:rRNA from 1 species
GGGGAAUAUUGCACAAUGGGCGCAAGCCUGAUGCAGCAACGCCGCGUGGGGGAUGAAGGCCUUCGGGUUGUAAACCCCUUUUAGCAGGGAAGAAGCGAAAGUGACGGUACCUGCAGAAAAAGCGCCGGCUAACUACGUGCCAGCAGCCGCGGUAAUACGUAGGGCGCAAGCGUUGUCCGGAAUUAUUGGGCGUAAAGAGCUCGUAGGCGGUUUGUCGCGUCUGCUGUGAAAACCCGAGGCUCAACCUCGGGCCUGCAGUGGGUACGGGCAGACUAGAGUGUGGUAGGGGAGACUGGAAUUCCUGGUGUAGCGGUGGAAUGCGCAGAUAUCAGGAGGAACACCGAUGGCGAAGGCAGGUCUCUGGGCCACAACUGACGCUGAGGAGCGAAAGCGUGGGUAGCGAAC